rnacentral:lncRNA from 1 species
UGAAUCCUUUCCUCCUAUCUUCUCACUCAGACACCCUCAAACCCUAAUCAUUGUCUACCUUCUCUGGCCACUUCCCUCGGCAGAAACCAUGGCCUCUCAUCAUCUCCUGACCUCUGCUUCACCCCAUACCAGUUUGACACUACCCCGAGGUUCUCAGGUGAAACUGGAGUGGUUCAACUCCUAUCCAUGGUCUUUCACGCUAUUUUCC